ACGAACGCUGGCGGCGUGCUUAACACAUGCAAGUCGAACGGAAAGGCCCUGCGUUUGUGGGGUGCUCGCGUGGCGAACGGGUGAGUAACACGUGAGUAACCUGCCCUUGACUUUGGGAUAACUUCAGGAAACUGGGGCUAAUACCGGAUAGGAGCUCCUGCUGCAUGGUGGGGGUUGGAAAGUUUCGGCGGUUGGGGAUGGACUCGCGGCUUAUCAGCUUGUUGGUGGGGUAGUGGCUUACCAAGGCUUUGACGGGUAGCCGGCCUGAGAGGGUGACCGGCCACAUUGGGACUGAGAUACGGCCCAGACUCCUACGGGAGGCAGCAGUGGGGAAUAUUGCACAAUGGGCGGAAGCCUGAUGCAGCAACGCCGCGUGCGGGAUGACGGCCUUCGGGUUGUAAACCGCUUUCGCCUGUGACGAAGCGUGAGUGACGGUAAUGGGUAAAGAAGCACCGGCUAACUACGUG
rnacentral:rRNA from 1 species